rnacentral:rRNA from 1 species
UGAGGAAUAUUGGUCAAUGGACGAGAGUCUGAACCAGCCAAGUAGCGUGCAGGAUGACGGCCCUAUGGGUUGUAAACUGCUUUUGUGCGGGGAUAAAGUGUGGGACGCGUCCCAUAUUGCAGGUACCGCAUGAAUAAGGACCGGCUAAUUCCGUGCCAGCAGCCGCGGUAAUACGGAAGGUUCGGGCGUUAUCCGGAUUUAUUGGGUUUAAAGGGAGCGUAGGCCGGAGAUUAAGCGUGUUGUGAGAUGUAGACGCUCAACGUCUGCACUGCAGCGCGAACUGGUUUCCUUGAGUACGCACAAAGUGGGCGGAGUUCGUGGUGUAGCGGUGAAAUGCUUAGAUAUCACGAAGAACUCCGAUUGCGAAGGCAGCUCACUGGAGCGCAACUGACGCUGAAGCUCGAAAGUGCGGGUAUCGAACAGGAUUAGAUACCCUGGUAGU